UGUAAGAUGUAGGGAUGAAAUUG
rnacentral:piRNA from 1 species